ACGUAGGGGGCGAGCGUUGUCCGGAUUUAUUGGGCGUAAAGGGCGUGUAGGCGGUUUUUUAAGUCGGAUGUGAAAACUCUGGGCUCAACCCAGCGACUGCAUCCGAAACUGGAAAGCUUGAGGGCAGGAGAGGAAAGUGGAAUUCCAAGUGUAGCGGUGAAAUGCGUAGAUAUUUGGAAGAACACCAGUGGCGAAGGCGACUUUCUGGACUGUUCCUGACGCUGAGGCGCGAAAGCCAGGGGAGCGAACGG
rnacentral:rRNA from 1 species